rnacentral:rRNA from 1 species
CAGCCGCCGCGGUAAUACGAAGGGGGCUAGCGUUGCUCGGAAUCACUGGGCGUAAAGGGUGCGUAGGCGGGUCUUUAAGUCAGGGGUGAAAUCCUGGAGCUCAACUCCAGAACUGCCUUUGAUACUGAAGAUCUUGAGUUCGGGAGAGGUGAGUGGAACUGCGAGUGUAGAGGUGGAAUUCGUAGAUAUUCGUAAGAACACCAGUGGCGAAGGCGGCUCACUGGCCCGAUACUGACGCUGAGGCACGAAAGCGUGGGGAGCAAACAGGAUUAGAUACCCGGGUAGUCCCUGUCUCUUAUAC